rnacentral:rRNA from 1 species
UUUUUGAUUUUAAUUUAAAGUCUAAUCUGCCCNCUGAUAAAUAUUAAAGGGCUGCAGUAAUUUGACUGUACAAAGGUAGCAUAAUCAUUAGUCUUUUAAUUGGAGACUUGUAUGAAAGAUUUGAUGAGAUAUAAACUGUCUCUUAUUUAUUUAUAAAAUUUAAUUUUUUAGUUAAAAAGCUAAAAUAUAUUUAAAAGACGAGAAGACCCUAUAGAGUUUUAUAAUUUAUAAAUUUAAUAUUUAUAUAAAAUUUUAAUAUUAAAUAAAAUAAAUUAUUUUGUUGGGGUGAUAAAAAAAUUAAAAAAACUUUUUUUUUUGUUUACAUAAAUAAGUGUUUAAUUGAUCCUUUAUAAAGAUUAUAAGAAAAAAUUACCUUAGGGAUAACAGCGUAAUAUUUUUUUUUAGUACAAAUAAAAAAAAAAGUUUGCGACCUCGAUGUUGGAUUAAGAUAAAAUUUAAAUGCAAAAGUUUAAAAUUUUGAUCUGUUCGAUCAUUAAAAUCUUACAUGAUC